GAUGAACGCUGGCGGCGUGCCUAAUACAUGCAAGUCGAGCGAACAGAUGAUGAGCUUGCUCCUCUGACGUUAGCGGCGGACGGGUGAGUAACACGUGGAUAACCUACCUAUAAGACUGGGAUAACUACGGGAAACCGGAGCUAAUACCGGAUAAUAUAUUGAACCGCAUGGUUCAAUAGUGAAAGACGGUUUUGCUGUCACUUAUAGAUGGAUCCGCGCCGCAUUAGCUAGUUGGUAAGGUAACGGCUUACCAAGGCAACGAUGCGUAGCCGACCUGAGGGGGUGAUCGGCAAAACGGGAACUGAGACACGGUCCAGACUCCUACGGGAGGCAGCAGUAGGGAAUCUUCCGCAAUGGGCGAAAGCCUGACGGAGCAACGCCGCGUGAGUGAUGAAGGUCUUCGGAUCGUAAAACUCUGUUAUUAGGGAAGAACAAAUGUGUAAGUAACGAUGCACGUCUUGACGGUACCUAAUCAGAAAGCCACGGCUAACUACGU
rnacentral:rRNA from 1 species